UUUCUGAGUCUGUUCCUGAUUCUGUCUCCUCGUCUCUGCCCUGGUAAACCUGCCUGUCUUCUGUCCCUCACUCUGAUUCCAGCCUGUGUGUUUCCUGGUUGGAUUUUCACCGUUCCUGUGUUGGUGUCUGCUGCUCAGGCUUCUCUGAAGAGGAUUAUUACUUGCCGGUCGCCUUCCCUGCUUCAGAGCUGUGCUCGGGACAGUGCCUGUCAAGGAAGAGGCUGCAGUAACUCAUGACUUCCUGUGAUGCUCUUGGCUUCACCUGAGUAAAACCUCAACUUUUUGCAGUAACAGAAGACCCUGGAAAGUUGCGUUAUGGGAAGUGUAGUGACCCGUACUGAGAAAUAAAAUUCUGUGUAUCAGGGUCUCUGAUGCAUAGAUUGUUACAACUUUUUUUUUUUAAAUCUUCCUUAUUCACGUCUCCAGACUACAUGGAAGUGCACUACUAAAUGGCUGAAUUAUGUAUGACACGAUAAACUCUUGGAAGUAAAGUUCUUAAAGUUUUUUUCUUACCAUCA